GACGAACGCUGGCGGCGUGCUUAACACAUGCAAGUCGUACGGUAAGGCCCUUUCGGGGGUACACGAGUGGCGAACGGGGGAGUAACACGGGAGUAACCUGCCCACAACUUUGGGAUAACGCUAGGAAACUGGGGCUAAUACUGGAUAUGUGCUCCUGCUGCAUGGUGGGGGUUGGAAAGCUCCGGCGGUUGUGGAUGGACUCGCGGCCUAUCAGCUUGUUGGUGGGGUAGUGGCCUACCAAGGCGGCGACGGGUAGCCGGCCUGAGAGGGUGACCGGCCACAUUGGGACUGAGAUGCGGCCCAGACUCCUACGGGAGGCAGCAGGGGGGAAGCUUGCACAAUGGGCGCAAGCCUGAUGCAGCAACGCCGCGUGCGGGAUGACGGCCUUCUGGUUGUAAACCGCUUUCAGCAGGGACGAAGCUUUUUGUGACGGUACCUGCAGAAGAAGCACCGGCUAACUACGUG
rnacentral:rRNA from 1 species